rnacentral:rRNA from 1 species
UACGUAGGGGGCAAGCGUUGUCCGGAUUUAUUGGGCGUAAAGAGCGUGUAGGCGGCCAGAUAGGUCCGUUGUGAAAACUGGAGGCUUAACCUCCAGCGGUCGAUGGAAACCAUCUGGCUAGAGUCCGGAAGAGGAGAGUGGAACUGCGAGUGUAGAGGUGAAAUUCGUAGAUAUUCGCAAGAACACCAGUGGCGAAGGCGGCUCACUGGCCCGGUACUGACGCUGAGGUGCGAAAGCGUGGGGAGCAAACAGG